ACUACGGGUGGCAGCAGUGGGGAAUAUUGCACAAUGGGGGAAACCCUGAUGCAGCGACGCCGCGUGAGUGAAGAAGUAUUUCGGUAUGUAAAGCUCUAUCAGCAGGAACGAGACAAGACGGUACCUGACUAAGAAGCCCCGGCUAACUACGUGCCAGCAGCCGCGGUAAUACGUAGGGGGCAAGCGUUAUCCGGAAUCACUGGGUGUAAAGGGAGCGUAGACGGCUGAGCAAGCCUGAAGUGAAAGGCGGGGGCCCAACCCCCGGACUGCUUUGGGAACUGUACGGCUGGAGUGCAGGAGAGGUAAGUGGAAUUCCUAGUGUAGCGGUGAAAUGCGUAGAUAUUAGGAGGAACACCAGUGGCGAAGGCGGCUUACUGGACUGUAACUGACGUUGAGGCUCGAAAGCGUGGGGAGCAAACAGGAUUAGAUACCCGAGUAGUC
rnacentral:rRNA from 1 species